UAGGGAAUCUUCCGCAAUGGGCGAAAGCCUGACGGAGCAACGCCGCGUGAGUGAAGAAGGUCUUCGGAUCGUAAAACUCUGUUAUUAGGGAAGAACAAAUGUGUAAGUAACUAUGCACGUCUUGACGGUACCUAAUCAGAAAGCCACGGCUAACUACGUGCCAGCAGCCGCGGUAAUACGUAGGUGGCAAGCGUUAUCCGGAAUUAUUGGGCGUAAAGCGCGCGUAGGCGGUUUUUUAAGUCUGAUGUAAAAGCCCACGGCUCAACCGUGGAGGGUCAUUGGAAACUGGAAAACUUGAGUGCAGAAGAGGAAAGUGGAAUUCCAUGUGUAGCGGUGAAAUGCGCAGAGAUAUGGAGGAACACCAGUGGCGAAGGCGACUUUCUGGUCUGUAACUGACGCUGAUGUGCGAAAGCGUGGGGAUCAAACAGG
rnacentral:rRNA from 1 species